rnacentral:lncRNA from 1 species
CAUGUCCCAAGUUUUUCAAAAACAAAUUGUUCACGCUACUUUUUAAAUAUCUUGCUUAAUUCUUCUCUGAAAAUUCAAUAUCUCUCAAGUAGCCGUGAAUUUUGUUUCAUAAUAUUAUAUUAAGUGAAAAUAGUGUCACUAAUUCAGUAUUCUGUUUUACUAUAUUUAUAGAAGAAAACAUCUAAAAAGAUAGGCGGAAAAUACCAAAGGGUUAUUCAAACUCAGAAGUCGAAAACAAACCGUCAACGCCAUUACUAAAAAAGAAAAAAAAAGGCCAAAAAGACCAAAAGACAAACAGACAAACAAUUGUACACAAAAC